CUACGGGACGCACCAGUGGGGAAUAUUGCACAAUGGGCGCAAGCCUGAUGCAGCCGUGCCGCGUGUAUGAAGAAGGCCUUCGGGUUGUAAAGUACUUUCAGCGGGGAGGAAGGGAGUAAAGUUAAUACCUUUGCUCAUUGACGUUACCCGCAGAAGAAGCACCGGCUAACUCCGUGCCAGCAGCCGCGGUAAUACGGAGGGUGCAAGCGUUAAUCGGAAUUACUGGGCGUAAAGCGCACGCAGGCGGUUUGUUAAGUCAGACGUGAAAUCCCCGGGCUCAACCUGGGAACUGCAUCUGAUACUGGCAAGCUUGAGUCUCGGAGAGGGGGGUAGAAUUCCAGGUGUAGCGGUGAAAUGCGUAGAGAUCUGGAGGAAUACCGGUGGCGAAGGCGGCCCCCUGGACGAAGACUGACGCUCAGGUGCGAAAGCGUGGGGAGCAAACAGGAUUAGAUACCCGUGUAGUC
rnacentral:rRNA from 1 species